GGAAAUGGAUGAACUAGCAUGCGAGUCAUUGUAGCAAUACAAGGCAGACGGCUCAGUAACGCGUAGUCAAUCUACCCUAUGGACGGGAAUAACCUCGGGAAACUGAGAAUAAUACCCGACAGAACAUUAUACCUGGAACGGUUUAUGUUUCAAAUGAUUUAUCGCCGUAGGAUGGGACUGCGGCCUAUCAGUUUGUUGGUGAGGUAAUGGCCCACCAAGACUAUUACAGGUACGGGCUCUGAGAGGAGUAGCCCGGAGAUGGGUACUGAGACACGGACCCAGGCCCUAUGGGGCGCAGCAGGCGAGAAAACUUUGCAAUGUGCGAAAGCACGACAAGGUUAAUCCGAGUGGUUUCUGCUAAAGAAACCUUUUGCUAGUCCUAGAAACACUAGUGAAUAAGGGGUGGGCAAGUUCUGGUGUCAGCCGCCGCGGUAAAACCAGCACCUCAAGUGGUCAGGAUGAUUAUUGGGCCUAAAGCAUCCGUAGCUCGUUUUGUAAGUUUUCGGUUAAAUCCAUACGCUCAACGUAUGGGCUGCCGGGAAUACUGCAUGACUAGGAAGUGGGAGAGGUAGACGGUACUCGAUAGGAAGGGGUAAAAUCCUUUGAUCUAUUGAUGACCACCUGUGGCGAAGGCGGUCUACCAGAACACGUUCGACGGUGAGGGAUGAAAGCUGGGGGAGCAAACCGGAUUAGAUACCCGGGUAGUCCCAGCUGUAAACUAUGCAAACUCAGUGAUGCAUUGGCUUGUGGCCAAUGCAGUGCUGCAGGGAAGCCGCUAAGUUUGCCGCCUGGGAAGUACGUACGCAAGUAUGAAACUUAAAGGAAUUGGCGGGGGAGCACCACAAGGGGUGAAGCCUGCGGUUCAAUUGGAUUCAACGCCGGG
rnacentral:rRNA from 1 species